rnacentral:rRNA from 1 species
CCGUCGCGCGCGCGGCGGCCGCCGCCCUCCCUGAUCCGAGCGCCAGAGAAGCCGUAACUUUCUGUCUUUGAAGCCCAUUGGAGGUCCAAGAUCUUGUCGAUGUUCAUCUGGAGAUAGCAUGUCAUGUCUGAACAACAGGAUCAUGUCAGUAAAAGCUCCAGCUCAAGCAUCAGCACCAGCACUCAGGAAAGCGAGGAGGAGGUGUCCGUAACUAUCGGUAGCCUCCUCGCUCACGCAAGGAACGACAAAGCACAUAGUCUUGGGAGGCGUCUCUUGCAUUUGGGUUCAGUCCCGCACCGUCCUCGAGUUAAUGGAGAGAUCCCUAAUGUUGAUAAUGCAACCUUGGAUCAUGAAAGACUGUUGGAAAGGCUGGGGACUUAUGGUCUGGCCGAGUUUCAGAUAGAGGGAGAUGGAAAUUGUCAGUUUCGAGCUCUGGCAGACCAGAUUUUUCGCAAUCCUGAAUAUCACAAACAAGUGAGGAAGGCAGUCAUGAAGCAGCUAAAGGAAUUCAGAAAACGCUAUGAAGGCUAUGUACCAAUGGAAUAUAAGGUGUACUUGAAGAAAAUGAAAAGAUCAGGGGAAUGGGGGGAUCAUCUGACCUUACAAGCGGCUGCAGACCGGUUUGGUGCCAAAAUUUGCUUACUGACGUCAUUUAGGGACACCUGCUUAAUCGAGAUAGUCCCCAGGGACCUGACUCCGACAAGAGAGCUUUGGCUUAGCUUCUGGUGUGAAGUACACUACAAUUCCUUGUAUGCGACUGACGAUCUCCUGACUCGCAAAACUAAGAAGAAGCAUUGGUUGUUCUAGGGCGGUACCGACUUCCGGGAGAGAGGAGCUUCUCUUUGCUGCAGCUGUUCUUCUCCCUUGAGCUUAGCAGGGAAUUUUACGGGAACACAUCCGCAAAAAUAUCGAAGCGUGGCCCAGGUUUGUGUAGGAUUAUGAGGCAAUGUACAGUAAACUUCGAUGUACUCCCUCCGUCCGAAAAUACUUGUCAU